AACGAACGCUGGCGGCAUGCCUAACACAUGCAAGUCGAACGCGUGUAGCAAUACACGAGUGGCGGACGGGUGAGUAACGCGUGGGAACCUGCCCAGUGGUAGGGAAUAACUGCGGGAAACUGCAGCUAAUACCCUAUGCGCCCUUUGGGGAAAGAUUCAUCGCCAUUGGAGGGGCCCGCGUCGGAUUAGCUAGUUGGCGGGGUAAUGGCCCACCAAGGCAACGAUCCGUAGCGGUCUGAGAGGAUGAUCAGCCACACUGGGACUGAGAUACGGCCCAGACUCCUACGGGAGGCAGCAGUGGGGAAUAUUGGACAAUGGGGGAAACCCUGAUCCAGCAAUGCCGCGUGAGUGAAGAAGGCCUUCGGUUGUAAGACUCGUUUC
rnacentral:rRNA from 1 species